rnacentral:rRNA from 1 species
AGUGAACGCUGGCGGUAGGCCUAACACAUGCAAGUCGAACGGCAGCACAGUAAGAGCUUGCUCUUACGGGUGGCGAGUGGCGGACGGGUGAGGAAUACAUCGGAAUCUACUUUUUCGUGGGGGAUAACGUAGGGAAACUUACGCUAAUACCGCAUACGACCUACGGGUGAAAGCAGGGGAUCUUCGGACCUUGCGCGAUUGAAUGAGCCGAUGUCGGAUUAGCUAGUUGGCGGGGUAAAGGCCCACCAAGGCGACGAUCCGUAGCUGGUCUGAGAGGAUGAUCAGCCACACUGGAACUGAGACACGGUCCAGACUCCUACGGGAGGCAGCAGUGGGGAAUAUUGGACAAUGGGCGCAAGCCUGAUCCAGCCAAACCGCGUGGGUGAAGAAGGCCUUCGGGUUGUAAAGCCCUUUUGUUGGGAAAGAAAAGCAGCAGGUUAAUACCCCGCUGUUCUGACGGUACCCAAAGAAUAAGCACCGGCGAACUUCGU